GCUACAGGCUUAACACAUGCAAGUCGAGGGGCAGCAUGGUCUUAGCUUGCUAAGGCCGAUGGCGACCGGCGCACGGGUGAGUAACACGUAUCCAACCUGCCGUCUACUCUUGGACAGCCUUCUGAAAGGAAGAUUAAUACAAGAUGGCAUCAUGAGUCCGCAUGUUCACAUGAUUAAAGGUAUUCCGGUAGACGAUGGGGAUGCGUUCCAUUAGAUAGUAGGCGGGGUAACGGCCCACCUAGUCUUCGAUGGAUAGGGGUUCUGAGAGGAAGGUCCCCCACAUUGGAACUGAGACACGGUCCAAACUCCUACGGGAGGCAGCAGUGAGGAAUAUUGGUCAAUGGGCGAGAGCCUGAACCAGCCAAGUAGCGUGAAGGAUGACUGCCCUAUGGGUUGUAAACUUCUUUUAUAAAGGAAUAAAGUCGGGUAUGCAUACCCGUUUGCAUGUACUUUAUGAAUAAGGAUCGGCUAACUCCGUGCCAGCAGCCGCGGUAAUACGGAGGAUCCGAGCGUUAUCCGGAUUUAUUGGGUUUAAAGGGAGCGUAGAUGGAUGUUUAAGUCAGUUGUGAAAGUUUGCGGCUCAACCGUAAAAUUGCAGUUGAUACUGGAUAUCUUGAGUGCAGUUGAGGCAGGCGGAAUUCGUGGUGUAGCGGUGAAAUGCUUAGAUAUCACGAAGAACUCCGAUUGCGAAGGCAGCCUGCUAAGCUGCAACUGACAUUGAGGCUCGAAAGUGUGGGUAUCAAACAGGAUUAGAUACCCUGGUAGUCCACACGGUAAACGAUGAAUACUCGCUGUUUGCGAUAUACGGCAAGCGGCCAAGCGAAAGCGUUAAGUAUUCCACCUGGGGAGUACGCCGGCAACGGUGAAACUCAAAGAAAUUGACGGGGGCCCGCACAAGCGGAGGAACAUGUGGUUUAAUUCGAUGAUACGCGAGGAACCUUACCCGGGCUUAAAUUGCAGAUGAAUUACGGUGAAAGCCGUAAGCCGCAAGGCAUCUGUGAAGGUGCUGCAUGGUUGUCGUCAGCUCGUGCCGUGAGGUGUCGGCUUAAGUGCCAUAACGAGCGCAACCCUUGUUGUCAGUUACUAACAGGUUCCGCUGAGGACUCUGACAAGACUGCCAUCGUAAGAUGUGAGGAAGGUGGGGAUGACGUCAAAUCAGCACGGCCCUUACGUCCGGGGCUACACACGUGUUACAAUGGGGGGUACAGAGGGCCGCUACCACGCGAGUGGAUGCCAAUCCCCAAAACCUCUCUCAGUUCGGACUGGAGUCUGCAACCCGACUCCACGAAGCUGGAUUCGCUAGUAAUCGCGCAUCAGCCACGGCGCGGUGAAUACGUUCCCGGGCCUUGUACACACCGCCCGUCAAGCCAUGGGAGCCGGGGGUGCCUGAAGUGCGUAACCGCGAGGAGCGCCCUAGGGUAAAACUGGUGACUGGGG
rnacentral:rRNA from 1 species